UACGAAGGGGGCUAGCGUUGUUCGGAAUUACUGGGCGUAAAGCGCGCGCAGGCGGUUCUUCAAGUCAGUGGUGAAAGCCCGGAGCUCAACUCCGGAACUGCCAUUGAAACUGUAUAACUUGAGGAUGAGAGAGGUGAGUGGAAUUCCCAGUGUAGAGGUGAAAUUCGUAGAUAUUGGGAAGAACACCGGUGGCGAAGGCGGCUCACUGGCUCAUUUCUGACGCUCAGGCGCGACAGCGUGGGGAUCAAACAGG
rnacentral:rRNA from 1 species